AUACAGAGGGUGCGAGCGUUAAUCGGAAUUACUGGGCGUAAAGCGCGCGUAGGCGGCUUAUUAAGUCAGAUGUGAAAUCCCCGGGCUCAACCUGGGAACUGCAUCUGAUACUGGUAAGCUAGAGUUUUGGAGAGGGAAGUAGAAUUUCAGGUGUAGCGGUGAAAUGCAUAGAGAUCUGAAGGAAUACCAGUGGCGAAGGCGACUUCCUGGCCAAAAACUGACGCUGAGGCGCGAAAGCGUGGGUAGCAAACGGGAUUAGAUACCCUAGUAGUCC
rnacentral:rRNA from 1 species